rnacentral:rRNA from 1 species
GAUGAACGCUGGCGGCGUGCUUAAUACAUGCAAGUCGAACGGGGAGUUAGCAAUAGCUCUUAGUGGCGAACGGGUGAGUAACGCGUUGGUGACCUGUCCCGAAGAUGGGGAUAACAGUUCGAAAGGACUGCUAAUACCCGAUGUGGUUAUCGAGGUUAGAGGCUUGAUAACUGAAGGAGCAAUCCACUUUGGGAGGGGCCUGCGUCCCAUCAGCUAGUUGGCAGGGUAAAAGCCUACCAAGGCGAAGACGGGUAGGGGGCCUGAGAGGGUGACCCCCCACACUGGCACUGAAACACGGGCCAGACACCUACGGGAGGCAG